UACGGAGGGAGCUAGCGUUGUUCGGAAUUACUGGGCGUAAAGCGCACGUAGGCGGCUUUGUAAGUCAGAGGUGAAAGCCUGGAGCUCAACUCCAGAACUGCCUUUGAGACUGCAUCGCUCGAAUCCGGGAGAGGCGGGUGGAAUUCCGAGUGUAGAGGUGAAAUUCGUAGAUAUUCGGAAGAACACCAGUGGCGAAGGCGGCCCGCUGGACCGGCAUUGACGCUGAGGUGCGAAAGCGUGGGGAGCAAACAGG
rnacentral:rRNA from 1 species